UUGACCGUGUAGUCCCAGGUCGGUUCGGUGUCGAGGAGGUAGCGCUCACCGAAGUUGUCACCGUCGGCCAGGACCCCCAGCCGGUUGGUCUCGCCAUAGGCGCCCUCGCUGGUCUUGUGCACGCGGCCGUGGGCCAGCAGGUAGAGGUGCUCGGCCGACGUCCCCUGCUCGGCCAACACCUCGCCGGGCUCGAACUCGCGCUGGACGAAACGCCCGGCAAGCGCCUCCAGCACCUCGAUGUCGUCGUAGUCGCGCAGCAUCGCGAGUUCCCCGAGCUCGCGCGGGAUCACCCGCACCUCGGAACCGGUCUGCACGAACUCGAUCCGACCAUCGCCGACGGUGUAGGUCAGGCGGCGGUUGACCCGGUAGGCUCCGCCGUCGGUCUGCACCCAGGGCAGCAUCCUGAGCAGCCAUCGGGAGCUCUUCCCCUGCAUCUGCGGGGCGGACUUGGUGGUGGUGGCCAGGUUCCGGGCCGCCGCGGUGGUCAGGCUCCGCUGUUGGCCGGUCCG
rnacentral:antisense_RNA from 1 species